UGCGAAAGUCAGUCUACUUUUGAUUUUAGGGCUUGACGAUACUAAUUUUUAAUGUUUCGAUGUUUAGGCAGAGUAAAAUUAUAAACGUUACAUUGAUGUUUAGCGUUCACUUCUCGAUUUGUGAGUCAUUUCGCAAAAUUAACAGGAAAAAAAUGAAACACGAGAGUUCUGUUUCAUUGGUUAUUUAUUUCGAUGUAAAAAAAACAUUUGAAAACACCAUACUUGUUGUUUCAAUAAAUUUGCGUUAAUUUUUGUUGGCGUGAUCUUGAUAUUUGAUCCAACAAAACGCGGAAUGAUUGAUUGCAUUAUCGCCUCUCAUGUGGAGAGCGUUUUUUUAUGGUGUCAAAUAUGCAUUAUUGUUACAACAUUUUUUGUUUAAUUUUUCAAUUUUUUCAUUUUGUCAAUAUUAAUACAAUGUCAGAAAUAUGUUCUAACACAUUUUUGACAUCACCAACCCGUUUUUUAUAAAAACAUGCUGAGAGAGAAAAAAAAAACUCAAACUGGGACGCAUUUAAGUAAGUUCUCCGUCGGUUAAUCACCACCGCUAACAAAUCAACCACGUGUUCCGUAAAACGAAGGGUAUGGAUUUUGAUAUGGUUGCUUAUGACCUGCUUCGAUUAUUUACUAUUGUAAGCAGUUUUUUUUUACCUAAGGCUAUUUGGUAUUCGAAACCAAUUUCUUUUCUUACGUAAUGGUUCAAGAUUAUUUAUAGCUCUUCGUGGCAGAUGUUUUAAUUCUGAAAGAAGGACACACAAUCAGAUGACAGUGUUGUUAAAUCAUGUUAUUGCUGACAUGAAUAAAUACGCGUGGACAUCCACAAACAACACAGUCGAACGCACGCCAGUGCAACAUGAGGUUGGAUGAUAUCAGUUGUGUCAUACUCGAAGACUUCUUCGUCAAAUCGCCGCCUCCAGAAAAGUUCGAUCAACUCAAGUCGUGGCACAGGCGCUUUUUUGCGUUAGUGCGUUUGACCCAUGACAAGUUGAAUAACUUAGUCAAAAAGAGUCAGCAGAAUAUACGCGGAGAAUUAUUUUUGGUGUACUGGGAGCACAAAACUGACCGCGACAAAGGGAAGAAACCUCUGCGAACAAUUGCAAUCUCGAAGGAUGAUGCGGUAUACAUGCGGGAACAUCCAUUUUUUCCUGCUCAAUACCCACAUGUGUUGGCUAUCUAUACUAAAACAAGACAGUAUUAUUUAUGUGCGUAUUCUGAGACACAAAAAAAACUUUGGUAUGAUUCGCUAAUUCAUUUACUACAACUGGAUAGUGAGUUUGGAAUGAUACUUCCGAUCACAGAAACAGAACAAAACGAGGAGGAACCGAUCUACGCCUCACUGUUGGACGUUUUGGACGAUGAUGAGACACGGAGUUGUUCGUCAUGUGAAAGAUUAAACAUGCAUCGGACAUCCGAAAGUUCGUGCUGGAGAGAUUUUCACAGUGUUGGAAAUAAAAAUCGUGAUUCCGGAAUAUCAUCCAUCACAAAUGCUUCAAAAUCAUCUAAUGAGGACGAAAAUAUGGAGAGGGAGCCUCGUUUAGAAAGGAUUCACUCGUUAAUAACAGACGCAGAUGACUCUUCUUCGUGGUCUGAAAACGGGAAUUUAUACGAGCGUAUGGAUGAACUUGUAGUUAAUAAGGCGAUGCUCAAGAGCAGAGGAGAAGAGCGACGUUUUUCCGGAACAGACAUUGUAACGAAAAAAAAAGAGAUACUCGGAAACGAAAAUCUUCGUCGAUAUUCUUCCCCUUUUCUAAAAAUUGCAGAAUCAACAGAAAUGCUGGAUUCCAAUUUUUAUGACAUCCCGACGUCUCCUCGAAAUCUUGCAAAAUCGGUCCCCCGCAGAGGAUAUAAAAAGUUGACUUUCUAUGACAUUACACUUGAGAUACCUAGUAACAGCGUGGUGAAGAUUACCCAGAAUGAGUUGCGAGUUAAGACAAGCGAACGAGAAUGGACUUUAACGAAGGGUUCAGAUUUAAAUUUGUUGUAAUUGAAACAAGAACGAAAUUGUAUAUUAAAUUACAGAGUCAACAAAAUAUUGGACUGUAUGAAGUGAAUCAACCGUCCAAUCAAUUACUUCUCCAUAACGGCAAUAUCGAAUUUGCUACACAUGCGCAGGCGCAUAAAUAAAUUUUACAAUGUAUACACGCUUCAGAAUUUUUUUUUGGGAUAUUUGCAAAUAUUUGUAAUUUAAAAAUAUGUGUAAUUUAUUUACCGAUUGCGGAUUUUAUACUAUAUUGUUUACUGUUUAGUAUGUCUGAAUUUCUUCUUGAUUUUUGUUUGUGGGGUAAAUCCUUACUACGAAUCGGGAUAUUUUUAUUGUACAAAGAAAAACGCUGACAACCAAAGCCAUGAAAAAUUAUGGUCAGAAAACGCUUUCACCAGAGCACGCUACAUCACAACACCCUUAUGAAAAUCAAUUUUAUGUAUAUCAGUUAUAACUUGAAUGAAUUCAUAUAAAUCCAAAAGAGAAUUUAAAUACUCUCGAGUUAGUAGGGGAGAUUGCAUCAUCAUUCCCCUUUGUUUUUGGCAUACAACGCCCCCACCGCCAGCCCCUCCCCCCUCACAUACGUUAUAAUAACACAAUGCUACUUGAAGAAAACUUAUUUGACAAAUCCCUCAAAAAUCUUUGUAAAUUUAAGGUUACUGUAAAGGAAACCAAUUUUUUUUUUAGUAAAUUGGUAAAUUUUGGUAAAUUUUUGCAUACCUGCCUUUACGUUUGUGGUCUCUUUUUCCGAAAGCUUUCUAUUGGCUCAUUGAAAUUUUCGGUACUGGAAAGCUGAAUAAAUUAUGCAUAAAAGGUUCCCGGAUUUUUUUGUAUAAAUUACUGAUUAGAGAAUUAUGUCGAUAGAAAGAAAAUAAUAUGCAUUUUUUGAAUGAUUAUAUAUAAUUACAAAUAAUUUCAAAAAAAGGUGUGUGUUUAAUUCAUUAUAUUUUCUUUUUGGAAAAUUAACAUCUCACGAAAAUAACACCAUCAAAAAAGUCUUUCAUCAAACAUUCAGAAACAAAAAAAAAAAAAAAAAAAUAAAUAAAUAUAAAAGUAUUGAUAAAUUAUAAGGGUUUUUCUUAGACUACUCAUCAAGUGAGUUUUUUCCUUUACAGUAACCUUAAACCCAUAAGAUAGGAAAGCAGCUAACGCAAAGACAAGAACUGCUGCCGAAUAAUUUCAAUUACCCGAUACAAAGAAAUUUUAAAAUUAUUGGUUUUUUGCACCAUGUUGAUUUUCUGUAGUGUGGGCCGAAACGCAAUGCAAAGAGAAUUUUUUUCUUUGAUGCGACAAGAACAUUUGUUGAAGCUGUGUUUGUGGAAUUAUUGGUGAAAAAUAUUUGUUGUUGGGCUGCGUAUUGUGAAAACAAAAAUGAUUUAGUAGUUUAGAGGCCGUUUUUUUUGUAAACUAGGCAACCACGUCCCCAGGCCAUCGAAGACGGAUCAAAAAAAUAAUUAAUAAAAUUCAAUCGUUAUGAACAUGCCCACUUUUGUUUACUUUUGUGCCUGUACAAGUUUUUUAUAUGAAUAUUAAAAUUCUAACCAGGCUUGUCAUUGCUCUUGCAGUUAACGCUCUCUAAUUCGAUAUUCAAGGGGAGUUAAUCGAAUUAGAGAGCCUAUCGAGUAGUGGGAAGUCUCUCUACUUCGUGUAGUAAGGGGUAAAUGUCGAAUGAGAGAGCAAAAUGCAAAUAAUAAACGAGGCUUUUGUUUUCAACGUUUAUUUCACCGAUGCAGUCGCCAUUUUUUAUCAACUGUUUGCAUCGCCUCGCCCGUUUGUUUUGAAAACUUUUAGAAAUCAAAUGUACGAAAAUUCGAAGCCUGAAAUUCGUUCGAAAUUCAAAACCGUAUAAAAACCUUUUUGCAUUGUAGAAAUCGAAUAACUCCUUCUCGGGACCUUAAAUUUGUAUCAAAAACGAGAGCUUAUCGAAUAAGAGAAUGUCGAACAAUGGAGCUUCGUUUGUGAGAGUUUCUUAAGGAAAUUUGACAGUGACUUUUAAUUUGAUUGAAAACGAGAGCUUAUGGAAUAAAGGAGUGUCGAAUUAGAACGCGUCAACUAUUUCUCUAUUGUUCGAUACAAUUGAUGUACUGUUUUCAACUUGAAAUCCCAGCCUGGUAUUUUUAUGAAGCAUAUUCUGAUCAGGCCGGUAGCAACCAGUGAAGUAAUAAUCUUGCAAAUUUUGGUUUAUAAUGAUCACAACUAACCAUAGUAGCCCCGACAGCAGACACUAAAGUUUUGUGAAUGAACCGUAACAUAAAAGGAGACAAGAGUAGGAAAAGUGUUUGCGUUCACAAAAUUUCGAUACAAAGAUAAUUUAUGCAUUUUUUUACAGCUUAGGAAUAAAUUAAUUAUGUAAGCGCUGCACGGAAUAACUUUUCUAUACUUUCGGUGACAUCAACAUCGUAUCUGUAUCAUAACAAGGAAAUUGUAUGUCAUCAACCUGUUGAUUUGGAAUGUAUAGCUAGCUGACACUGUCAAGGCGUACCCCAAGGUAGUGUGCUUUGACCACUUAUCUCCGUCAUCUUCCUUGGAGAUAUGGACUCAAAUAUCAGUGACAGUAUUGUACGGUCAUUUCCUGAUGAUACAAGGGUUACCAAGAGCAUCGACUCUCUCAGGGACAUGGGCAAGUUGCAAAGUGAUCUACAGAAAAUUUAUAAAUGGGAAGAAGAUGAAAACAUGAAAUUUAAUGAUCUAAAGUUUGAGGUCAUGCGUUAUGGCACGAAAGACAUCCUGAAAAAUUGUGCAUCAUAUCUUGAUCCAUCAUCGAAGAGGGAGAGGAACUGAACUGAAAGGUCUUGGUGUCAUAUUAUCCACCAACUGCUCCUUUCAUUCCCACAUAUCGAAAGUAGUAAAUGACAGUAAAAACAUGAUCUCUUGGAUUUUAAGAACUUUUUACACCAGAACGAAGGAUCACCUUAUGACCAUGUGGAAAUUUCUUGUUCUUCAUCUAAUGCCUCUAUCUAUUGUUCAGUCCUUUGGAGUCCACAUAAAGUUGGAGAGAUACAGAUGAUAGAGGCAUUGUAAUGGUCCUUUAUACGAAAAAUCAGAAACUUGACCAAUCACAACUAUUGGAAAUCAUUGAAAGAACUGAAACUGUAUUCAUUGGAGCGUAGAAGGGAAAGGUAUCAAAGAAUUUAUUUUUGGAAAAUCAUGGAACAGUUGGUACCAAAUGUCAAUCUGAAAAUCCAAAGCUAUCAUCAUCCUUGGCAUGGUCAGAAAGCAAAACUUCCGUGUGGUCCAUACAGUAGGGUAGCAGAGUUCAGUUUACCUAUCCAUGGAAUAAAGCUCUCUAACAUCCUCCCUAAAUCCAUCCGUAAUAUGUCUGGUUGCACACUGGACCUUUUUAAAGACAGCCUUGAUAAAUAUCUAUUCAAGAAACCAGAUGAUCCACAACUGGUAGGAUACACCACGUUAAGACGGGCUGAUUCAAACUCAAAUUAUAGAUAUGCACACAUUGGUGUAAACUGGAUGUUCAAUCCAAUGGAGGACUGGCACAAAACUGCUAAUCUUGAAGACUUUCCUCGAAAGCCUACAACAAGGUACAACAAGGUAAGGUUUUAUGAGGACUAUUUCAUUCCUAAAAACGAGGACUAAUUCUUUUCCAAAAUCGACAACCAACAUUUUGGUCAGGUGGCGUAAUCUGUAAAAAAAUACAAAAAAAGAAAAAAAAGUAGUUUUGGACAAUUAGAAAAAGAAAAGGUUGGUUGAAGGUGAUUUUUUAGCCUCUGUUUAUUCGUAUCAGAAAAGUCGAAAGAAAAUCGUCCAAAAUCUCCAUUUAUUUAUCUAGCAAACCCAUAAUUAUCAGAAAUUACAAAAAAGCUGAGUUAUUGCUACCCUUCCUUGCUUGUGUCUUAAGUAAGAAAUUUUAAGCAAACUUUAUUUUGACAUGAUUCUAAUCAUUUGUUGUUCUUUGUGAUGUAAGAUUACCUUUGAUAACUGAGUAUAACUUCUUGUUUGACUGAAUCCUGGUUUCACAAUACUUUUAACUAGAUCUUCAACUUUUGAUAUUCUCUCACUUUGUUCGCACACUGCUGUAUAGAUACACACAGUCAAGUAACAAAUCGUUUCAGGUAUGUCAUUAUUCGCACGGCUGAAGAAUAAAUAUUGAAUUUUAGAAUCAACUUAUAAAAUCCAUUUUGUAGCGUGUGAUGACAGCCCUCAACAUAAUUUUUGGAGACUCGUUAGACAAAACUCCCAAUAGAUUUCCGUCUUGGUCGAACACUUUUAGAUCUCAGAAUUAUUGAAUGGUCCUCGACCUUUUAAUCCACGAGAAAGCCUAUUCAUAGCCAACCUAACCAUCCUAGGUAAUUCACUGGCUCCUGACUUGCUUAAAAGAACUAUGUAGACAUAAAUCUCUUUUGCCUGGCCCCUUCGUCGUUGGUAACCAGUUUUACACAAGAAAUUCAACCAUGCGGUUCUUAACUACUGCGCAGGUGAACACCAACGGAGCACGGAUGAAGCAAGUCUGCAAAACUGCACUGACAGGCAGAAUAGACAUUUUGUAAUGGAUUUAAUUGUAGAUGAUUUCUUUAUGUGACAAAACAAUCGAAAACUAUAGCAGGUCCGAA